GACGAACGCUGGCGGCGUGCUUAACACAUGCAAGUCGAACGGAAAGGCCCUGCUUUUGUGGGGUGCUCGAGUGGCGAACGGGUGAGUAACACGUGAGUAACCUGCCCUUGACUUUGGGAUAACUUCAGGAAACUGGGGCUAAUACCGGAUAGGAGCUCCUGCUGCAUGGUGGGGGUUGGAAAGUUUCGGCGGUUGGGGAUGGACUCGCGGCUUAUCAGCUUGUUGGUGGGGUAGUGGCUUACCAAGGCUUUGACGGGUAGCCGGCCUGAGAGGGUGACCGGCCACAUUGGGACUGAGAUACGGCCCGAACUCCUACGGGAGGCAGCGGUGGGGAAUAUUGCACAAUGGGCGGAAGCCUGAUGCAGCAACGCCGCGGGCGGGAUGACGGCCUUCGGGUUGUAAACCGCCUUCGCCUGGGACGAAGCGUGAGUGACGGUAAUGGGUAAAGAAGCACCGGCUAACUACGUG
rnacentral:rRNA from 1 species